CUGCUCACCACUAGGCAAUGAGUUACAGUCAUGUGUGGCGUGGUAGAUCUUGUUUCUGGGGGCACUACUUGUUUUGGUCUCUUUGUCUGUCACGACAGGAUCUGAUUACAUUGUUACGCGUGUUUGGUCAUAACGUGACCAUCUCCCUCAACAUAUCCCAGGCUGGACAAGAGUUUAAAGUCGGCGUGGAAGUUAAUAAUGAUACAGGAUAUCUCUUUCUUUAAAACUGACACUGAGCUUUACAAUCGUGAAAACCAGCCAUACAUGGUACGGAGCCAGAGAUCCCAGUGAACAUCACCCCAUCAGAGUUCAGGUUUACACUGUAUAAAGUCACUACAGAGGACGCAGGGGCUCUACGAAUGUCUGCCGUUUGACGCAUACAAGGGGGGAUACCUGGCUGUGAACAGCUUCUCGUUGUGGCACAGAAACCUUCAACCCCGAACAUCACUGGACCUACAUCAGCUGUCUCAGGUGGGCGUGUCACCCUGACAUGCUCCUCCUCCUCCCGGAGUCUCCCCCCGGACCACCCUCUGACCAUGACCUACAUCUGGAGGAGGAACAGUGAGAAGA